rnacentral:rRNA from 1 species
AGAGUUUGAUCCUGGCUCAGAUUGAACGCUGGCGGCAGGCCUAACACAUGCAAGUCGAGCGGUAGAGAGAAGCUUGCUUCUCUUGAGAGCGGCGGACGGGUGAGUAAUGCCUAGGAAUCUGCCUGGUAGUGGGGGAUAACGUUCGGAAACGGACGCUAAUACCGCAUACGUCCUACGGGAGAAAGCAGGGGACCUUCGGGCCUUGCGCUAUCAGACGAGCCUAGGUCGGAUUAGCUAGUUGGUGAGGUAAUGGCCCACCAAGGCGACGAUCCGUAACUGGUCUGAGAGGAUGAUCAGUCACACUGGAACUGAGACACGGUCCAGACUCCUACGGGAGGCAGCAGUGGGGAAUAUUGGACAAUGGGCGAAAGCCUGAUCCAGCCAUGCCGCGUGUGUGAAGAAGGUCUUCGGAUUGUAAAGCACUUUAAGUUGGGAGGAAGGGUUGUAGAUUAAUACUCUGCAUUUUUGACGUUACCGACAGAAUAAGCACCGGCUAACUCUGUGCCAGCAGCCGCGGGUAAUACAGAGGGGUGCAAGCGUUAAUCGGAAAUUACUGGGCGUAAAGCGCGCGUAGGGUGGUUUGUUAAGUUGGAUGUGAAAUCCCCGGGCUCAACCUGGGAACUGCAUUCAAAACUGACUGACUAGAGUAUGGUAGAGGGUGGUGGAAUUUUCCUGUGUAGCGGUGAAAAUGCGUAGAUAUAGGAAAGAACACCAAGUGGGCGAAGGCCACCACCCUGGACUAAUGACUGGACACUGAGGUGCGAAAGCGUGGGGGAGCAAACAGGAUUAGAUACCCUGNUAGUCCACGCCCGUAAACGAUGUCAACUACCCGUUGGAAGCCUUGAGCUUUUAGGGGCGCAUCUAAGCAUUUGGGUUGACGGCCUGGGGAGUACGGCCGCAGGGUUAAACUUCAAAUGAAUUGGAGGGGGCCCGCACAAGCGGUGGAGCAUGUGGUUUAAUUCGAAGCAACGCGAGGAACCUUACCAGGCCUUGACAUCCAAUGAACUUUCUAGAGAUAGAUUGGUGCCUUCGGGAACAUUGGGACAGGUGCUGCAUGGCUGUCGUCAGCUCGUGUCGUGAGAUGUUGGGUUAAGUCCCGUAACGAGCGCAACCCUUGUCCUUAGUUACCAGCACGUUAUGGUGGGCACUCUAAGGAGACUGCCGGUGACAAACCGGAGGAAGGUGGGGAUGACGUCAAGUCAUCAUGGCCCUUACGGCCUGGGCUACACACGUGCUACAAUGGUCGGUACAGAGGGUUGCCAAGCCGCGAGGUGGAGCUAAUCCCAUAAAACCGAUCGUAGUCCGGAUCGCAGUCUGCAACUCGACUGCGUGAAGUCGGAAUCGCUAGUAAUCGCGAAUCAGAAUAUCGCGGUGAAUACGUUCCCGGGCCUUGUACACACCGCCCGUCACACCAUGGGAGUGGGUUGCACCAGAAGUAGCUAGUCUAACCUUCGGGAGGACGGUUACCACGGUGUGAUUCAUGACUGGGGUGAAGUCGUAACAAGGUAACC